rnacentral:rRNA from 1 species
UACGUAGGGCGCAAGCGUUGUCCGGAAUUAUUGGGCGUAAAGAGCUCGUAGGCGGCCAGUUGCGUCCGCUGUGAAAUCCCGGGGCUUAACCCCGGGCGUGCAGUGGAUACGGGCUGGCUAGAGGCAGGCAGGGGAGAACGGAAUUCCCGGUGUGAGCGGUGAAAUGCGCAGAGUAUCGGGAGGAACACCGGUGGCGAAGGCGGUUCUCUGGGCCUGUACUGACGCUGAGGCGCGAAAGCGUGGGGAGCAAACAGG